GACGAACGCUGGCGGCGUGCUUAACACAUGCAAGUCGAACGGAAAGGCCCUGCUUUUGUGGGGUGCUCGAGUGGCGAACGGGUGAGUAACACGUGAGUAACCUGCCCUUGACUUUGGGAUAACUUCAGGAAACUGGGGCUAAUACCGGAUAGGAGCUCCUGCUGCAUGGUGGGGGUUGGAAAGUUUCGGCGGUUGGGGAUGGACUCGCGGCUUAUCGGCUUGUUGGUGGGGUGGUGGCUUACCCAGGCUUUGACGGGUAGCCGGCCUGAGAGGGUGAGCGGCGGCAUGGGGACUGAGAGACGGCAGGGGGGGGGAAGGGAGGCAGCAGGGGGGAAGAGUGCACAAGGGGCGGGGGGGGGAUGCAGCAGGGCGGCGGGGGGGAUGGCGGCCUUGGGGGGGGAGAGCGGUGGCGGGUGUGACGAGGGGUGAGUGGGGGGAAGGGGUAGAGAAGGAACGGGUAACUACGGG
rnacentral:rRNA from 1 species